UCUUACAUCAUGAUAAGGUUCUGCUUUGCUGGAUGCUGUCCUGCUGUCUACAGCUAAUGCUGUUUGUAACUGUCCAACAUCAGUGACGACUUUGUUUCUGCCGACAUGCAGCUGCAGACGCUGCUGCGAAGGUCGCUGCCCAACAACCCCUCCCUCUCCUGAUCCUUGUUCCCUCUCUCCAACUCUCUCUACCCUCUCUUCCUCUCUCUCCCUGUGCUUUAAACAUUUUCUACCUCACAGGAACGCAGACUCUGGCAGACGAAUGGUUCCACCUGUAGCCAUGGAGUCUGGUUUGGGCCUGAUGGCAGCCGUGCCGCCCAAACACUUUUUCCGCACAGUUCAGAUUUACUAACAGGUGAAAACAGGCGAAAGGACCAGGGGACUGGGCGAUCGUUAAGGAGUUCAGGAGGAAGCAUUGGGACUCCAAACGGUGGCGAAGCCCCUUCCAGGUCCUUCGACCCACACGGCUGAAAGAUCGCAGAGAGAGCGACUUGAAUCCACUCCAUCCAGGAAGGUCCCGGAUCCGACAGACGACCCUCCAUCCACAUCCCACGGAGAAAACCACCACUGACGAAAAGAAUUAAGAAGGACGUCCCUCGCUGUGCUCACACACGCACUGAGGCGAGGCUGCAUUGACCGUUCAGCUAAAGGUGUGAGCCAAGCGCCGCCUGAAGCUGCGCCGGUGAAUCACACUAUCAGACCAUACAUCUACACACACGCUCCUGAGAAAACACACACACGAGCAGCCUUGAGUUGCCGACGCUGGACGACGUGUAGACUCUUCACAUCACGGGAGUGACAGUGACUCAGACGACAUUGGGAGGAAACCUGGCGGUGAUAACGAAUCCCAAGUGUCUCUGUGAUCAGCUGAUCACAACCUGAAGAACUCCAACGAACUGGCAAUACAUCAACACACAGGUUGGAAACAAUCUAACGCUACUGUUCAACAGGAAGAAGCAGAUUGUUACGAGACAUCAAUUGUAAACAUGCUUUGUUAGACUUCAUUUUAUGUUACUUGGAUUGUUGCCUUUAUCAUAUGAUGUUUCUAUGUAACUUUACACAAUACUUUUGAAUGAGAAAAUUUCACAUAAUUCACAACACUGAGUUUAAAUAUCCUAAAGUUGAUUUGGUGUUUAAUUUGCUCACAAUCACUUAUUCACUGCUACAAUUAGUUUUUAUCCUUCAUCUACAGAUGACAGAGGUUAUGAGACAAAACGCAUCAUCAUUCUGGUUAAAUCCCUGAAUCUCCUAUUCGCUCUAGACGCAAAUGUACAAUUAAAGAUCCAAAAGCAUUAAAUCUAUCUUAAGAAUAUAUGAAACAGAACCCCAUCGGAAACCUAUGGCUAUCAUACAUUAAUUGUCUUUAUUACAUUACAAUUGAAUGGCCGUAGACAUGUUGUUAGCAGAGAAAAGAGGCGUUUGUGUUAUGUUUGGAGACGCAUGUUGUACUUACAUCCUGAAUAACACUGAUUCUAAUGGUAUUGUGGCGAAGGCGCUACACGGCCUUCAGAAUCUCAGCUAACUCUGGUAUAGAUUCUUCCUCUUGGAAUUGGCUAGACGAAAUGUCUGGAAAAUGGAAAUCUGUUCUCAUGUCCACAGCUGUUUCCUUUAUAAUUGAGAUGGCUGUGGUUCUCUUGUUUGGUUUUUGCGUUAUCCCACUGGUUAGAGGUCUCAUCAUGCGUGCGACCUCAGCAACACUCUCGUAUGAGAUGACACAAUGCACUAUGUUCAAAAACCCCAACUCUAAUUCACUUAAUGACUUUGACGAUGGUCUUAGGCCAUCGGAUCACGAAAUAUAAUCUGAUACGAAAAUGAUUAUGGGCUCAUUUUCUUCACAUGCCGAUACAAAAGUUAUUCUUGUAUAACUACCCACCAAAAACAGCUCCCAACCUUUUGUCCCUUAGUUACUUCCAUUUUAUGUGAAGGUGUAUUUUGAAUCUUGAUGAGUUAAUACCCUUAUUGUUUCAUUUGCAAGGAUCUUUUAUUAUUACAGAAUGUGAUGUUGACAAUUUUUAUUCCUUUAUGGUUUGAUUAAUGUGUAAUCAAAAGGGGGGAGUGUUAUGGCAAAAAUUGUCUCUUCCUUAUUUCUAUGUCUCUUCCUUAUUUUUAUGUGUCUUCCUUAUUUCUAUGCAUUUCUAUGCAGUUAUUAUACGAGUUAUGACUUAUGUUCUGCAAUUAAUAUCUUAUGUUUUGUCUUACUGUAUGCAUUUGACAUUUCACCUAGAUUGUUCAAUGGUUGUCUCUGCCUGAUAGACUCUCAACUCUAGCUCCCAAACCCAAGGUCGGGGAGUUGUGUCUCUGUCUGUUGAGACUUGGUGCUCCUUUCUCACAGAUAGUUGGACGUCAGCGAUGCAGGUGUGAGAAAGUAAAAAUCUUCACACACACUGCGACAGGGAGGAGAUGGUGCAUGUAAUUUGAUUGGGUUGGAAAGACAUUCCACCCUAGUCGGACAGAGAAGCUAAAAGGCAGAAGCAACUUGAGGAUCGUGGACUCUUUGCAUCACACCUUCGUGGUGUGUGCACUGAUCUCCUGUAAUGGAAAAAUUUUGCCUUGUGCUGUUUCUUAUCCAACACACUUGUCAUGUGCUGGUUAGGUGCAAUACUGAACAUUCUUACACAAACAAAUAAUCUCUUGUGCCCUGACGUACAUCAAGUCUAAACAUCUGAUGCUCCAUUUGACUGACUAAUAAUUUCUGAUAUAUGUUUGUCCUUUACACCCGGACUCUGGCUCCAUCCUAUCUGACUCCCCACCAGACCCAAGGCUGUUAAAGCAAAUGCAUCUUGUCUUGGAAGCUCGGUGUUCCUUCCUUUGGAUAACAAGACAUGACGAUGCAGAAGUGAGAAAGCAAACAUUCUCACUCACAGCGAGAUAAGGUGGCGCAAACAAUUCCAUUGCUGCAGAGAGACAUUCCACCAGAGCCAGAGAAAGGGGUUAAAAGGCAGAAGCAACUUGAGGAUCGUGGGCUCUUUGCAUCACACCUUCGUGGUGUGUGCACUGAUCUCCCCAGCUGGUUUUUGGUUUGUUGAUGUGCACGAUCAACAUCCAUGCUUUUUAUUUGCUUUCCCCAUUAUUUUUAUUUUCUUUAUUAUUUCAAUAAAUCGCACAAAAGGACAACUCUCUCUCAUCUACUUCUUUAUGGAAAAUUUCCACCACAGAAAUUGGCGUCUACGAACAGGAUCCCGCGGCAGGUCGUCUGGACGGUGUGACCAGGGACGAUAGUCCUGAGGACUAGGGUCGCUCAGCCUCCAAACCUCUACAGACAUUCAGAGCUGGGAGGACUGCUCACCCGUCUGGAUCGCCUCUGACGAGAUCCACGAACUCAGAUUCAAACUCAAAUCCUAAUUUGGCUCGGCUCGGUGAGAGAGAUUCCUUUGAUUUGGGAAAAACAAAAAGAUUGGAACUUUUAUUUUUAAUUUAGCUGAAACAUUUCAAUUGGUUGAAAAAAAAAGGGAAAGAAAUCUUCUAUUUGGUUGAAACACUAAAUUUGAAAAAGGAAAAUUAAUUAGAUCGAGAAAAAGAGAAAAAAAAAAAUCCCAAUAAUACAUGUUCUUAAUUAGGUGAAAGUCUGCUCUGGGUGGUGAGACGUCGGUUGCUAAGGGUUGGCUCGUGGAACCGAGCUUCCGUCUGUACUGAGGAUACAGACAUGUUUUUUUGAUCUGUGCGUGGUCCACACGUGGGGGACUGAGUAUAAAAGACGGCUUCUGAAAGAGGGAGCGCGUUUGCAGAGUGAAGUAUUUUCAAGAUACGAGGGACCCGGGCCUAGAGGGGCCUAACGUUGAGGAAAUACUUCGGGAAAGGCUCUGUCGCCAGAUCAGGUUGGUUCCCUUUUUACGGAGACGUCCGAUAAAAAGGCAUUUUGGGAAGGUUCCGGCCGGAACACACAAAAAAUCUAAGGCAGGAAACCGCCGGACUCUGAAAGACGGGUUCGGGGCAAUUUGAGUCUUCACCACCAGACAGAAACCGUACAAAACUAAACAACUGAGCGCGAUGAGGGUAAAUCCGGAUCUGGACUCCUUUCCCACCAUCAGCAGAAGAACCGAAGGAGAAGAAGCGCCCGACCAACAACCAGAACAGGGUGGAAGCUCUGACACCACAGCAGCUGGAGGACACAGACCACAGCAUGGACGCCUCAGCGACUCCCACAACGUCUGCAGCCAUCACGUUCUGGGAUCAUCAGAUGAACCAGCUACUACAAGCGUGUGUGUCUGACACAGACACCUGCUUAUGACAAUCAGCAAAGGAAAACAAGGACAGAGCAACAGCAGAGAAGACGUGCUCUGACACAGACACUGGUUGAAACAACAGGAGAGGCUUCAGACGUGAUCGGCCCAAUAGAGCUGCAUCCAAGCAUCCAGGAAAGGUCUGUCAUCGAGGAACAACUGUCCCAUUGAAAGGCUUCACCCGCUGGCGCUCACAUGAGACUGAUGGUUGGGGAAGGAGGAAGGUGACGGUUCCUUUUCACGUGAUGUACAAGACGGUACCGCAAACAUACACACACAUUCAUACAUGCAAUGAAGAAACACGCUUACAGCUGAUACACGCUCAAAUUCAUGUUCAUGCUUAUCUGCUCGCAAUGAAGAAUCGCUUUUUGCUCAAAAAAUCCCACAGAGUGAUUUUAAAAUGAUGACAAACAGCUAAAUGACAACUGCUGCAUGACUUUACAGUCUGAUGGGUUUAAACUAUUUUAACUUGCAACAAAUUCAGUAAUAAAAUCCUUCAUGUUUCUAAAAGGGUUUGUGCACAAUAUAGGUUUGUCUGGCCAGACUAUAGAAAAACAAAAUCAGACUAUAGAAAAACAAAACAGACUAUAGGAAGACUGAGACUGACUGAAACAGACUAUUAAUGACUAUUAAAGGGAAGACGACUAUUAGAGAGAAGUAAUAAUAAUUACUGUACGUACCAGACUAUUAAAGAAAAACUAAUUCUUUCACUGUCUUGUGCAACAUCUGACAGCAAGACACCUUAACAUUCAUUUUUGCUUUCAAACUUGUGCCCAGUUAAAUUUUUAGGAAGAGAUCUCAUGUAGUUUAGAUAUUUGAUUGAUUUCCACUCCAGACGGAGUGCAGGUUACGUCUACAGACAUUCUAAAUAAUCCCUCUUUUGUUGGUGUUAACUUCAGCUCAGCUGUGCUCUUAUCAUUGGCUGCUGAGGGGGGGCUGUAACUGAGGCCCUCACACAGGCUGCAUCACAGCUUGUUUAUGAUUUCACACACACACACACACUCAAACUGACCUCAACUUCCCUCUUUUGGGAUGAACACAGGUCUGCGCUUGCGAUUUCUCUUACUAACGAACAAAAAUAUUUUUGAUGUUUAUUUUACAGUUCCACAUGUCCCUCUGUGAAAACAUGAUGGAGACAGAUGACAGGACGUGGGUCCUUUCGUGAACAGAUGUCAACGGGGUGGAGACUGGUGAACGACUUCUGACCCCAUGUGACGUAUUCACCUACUUUGCAUAGUUUUAGAAAACUUAUUUUUAUUCUGCCUGUUAUGUGCAGCAAACAGUGAACUUGGUACCUCCACAUUCUAAUGACACACUACAUGCUUUUGUUUUUAUUUUUAUUUUUCAGAGGACGCUCUGACCCAACACUCAGCCUUACAGGAAGCCCUGCUUCCCUGUGGCUCACACACAGACAUGAUGUAGGUUCGAUCAGAGGAUGUGAACCAGUGGUCAUCACACCUAAAUCUGACCACAGACCAUGUAAACAACAACACCCUCUUAAAGGAGCCAUAGAUGGUGUUACUGCAGACACCACUAAGCUACAGAAACAUUGGAUGCUACAGGCCACAAAGAGAGCCUGUCUAAAUUACACUUUGUUCAGACAAAGGUUAUUUUCUGGGUCAUUGUAAUUACAGCUGAUGGCAAAUCCAUCUCACCCAACAGAGUUGAAGCAAUUUGAAACCUGCCUAAACCGUGCACGUAAAAACAGCUGAUAUCUUUUCUAGGUUUUUGUUCUUGUUGUAGGACUUUCGUUCCUAACUUUACUGUCUUUGAGGCCCCACUCAGGGUUCUGAUGCAGACGUCUUCAUCGUCCACUUCUUGUCUCACAUGGACGUCUGAGGCUGAACAACGUUCACCGACCUCAUGCUUGCUCUUCAGUCGGCUCCUACUUUGGGUCUUCCUGAUCUGACCCUACGCAACCUUUCACUCAAACAGUGAAUGAGAAAUCAGGUUGUACGACUUCUGUUCUUUUGUCCUCAUACUUUGAUUCUUUUGGAAUAGAUCACAUCUUUCUACAGCCCGAUGGCUUAGAUGCAACACCACCUUACUCAACAUGCUGAACAUUACUAUCAAGAGGCCGUCUUGAAGUCUGGCUCUUUGCUAAGACACUACUCUGCUCAGGCUGCAGAGUUGAUCACAUUGACUGAAGCUAGUAAACGAGCAGAAGGAGAGUCUGUUACCAUUUACACGGACUCCACAGACGCUCUGUGGAAGCAUAGGAAGCUUUUUUGAAGUCUAAUUGCAAACCUAUCUCACAUCAUGAUUAGGUUCUGCUUUGCUGGACGCUGUCCUGCCACCUACAGCUAAUGCUGUUUUUACAUCAUCAGUGACGACUUUGUUUCUGCCGACAUGCAGCUGCAGACGCUGCUGCGAAGGACGACAACCCCUCCCUCUCCUGAUCCUCGUUUCCUCUCCUCUUCCUUGUUCCCUCUCUCCAACUCUCUCUAUCCUUUCCUUCCUUUCUUCCUCUCUCCCUGUGCUUUAAACAUUUUCUACCUCGCAGGAACGCAGACUCUGACUGACGAAUGGUUCCACCUGUAGCCAUGGAGUCUGGUUUGGGCCUGAUGACACGCCGUGCCGCCCAAACACCUUUUCCCCAUAAUUCAGAUUUCCCAACAGGUGAAAGCAGGCGACAGGACCAUUACACCAUCCAACCAGGGCACUGGGUGAUCGUUAAGGAGUUCAGGAGGAAGCACUGGGACUCCAAACGGUGGCGAGGCCACUUCCAGGUCCUUCUGACGACCCACACGGCUGAAAGAUCGCAGUGAGAGUGACUUGGAUCCACUCCAUCCACUGCAGGAAGGUCCCGGAUCCAACAGACGACCCUCCAUCUACAUCUACACCACACAAGAAAACCACCACUGACGAAAAGAAUUGAGAAGAACGACCCUCGCUGUGCUCACACACGCACUGAGGCGAGGCUGCGUUGACCGUUCAGCUAAAGGUGUGAGCCAAGCGCCGCCUGAAGCUGCGCCGAUGAAUCACACUAUCAGACCAUACAUCUACACACACGUCCCUGAGAGAACACACACACGAGCAGCCUUGAGUUGCCGACGCUGGACAACGUGUAGACUCUUCACAUCACGGGAGUGACAGUGACUCAGACGACAUUGGGAGGAAACCUGGCGGUGAUAACGAACCCCAAGUGUCUCUGUGAUCAGCUGAUCACAACCUGAAGAACCCCAAUGAACUGUCAAUACUUCAACACACAGGUUGGAAACAAUCUAACGCUACUGUUCAACAGGACGAAGCAGAUUGUUACAAGACAUCAAUUGUAACCUCGUUGCGUUAGACAUUUUAUGUUACUCUGAUUAUUGCCUUGAUCAUAUGAUGUUUUCAUGUAACUUUGCACACUACUUUUGAAUGAGAAAAUUUCACAUAAUUCACAACACUGAGUUUAAAUAUCCUAAAGUUGACUUGGUGUUUAAUUUGCUCACAAUCACUUUAUUCACUGCUACAAUUAGUUUUAUCCUUCAUCUACAGAUGAAAGACAACACAAGCGGAAAAACGCAUCAUCAUUCUGGUUAAAUCCCUGAAUCUCGUAUUCGCUCUAGGCCCAAAUGUACAAUUAAAGAUCCGAAAGCAUGAAAUCUAUCUUAAGAAUAUAUGAUACAGAACCCCACCGGAAACCUAUGGCUAUCAUACAUUAAUUGUCUUUAUUACAUUACAAUUGAAUGGCCGUAGACACGUUGUUAGCAGAGGAAAGAGACGUUUGUGUUAUGUUUGGAGAGGCAUGUUGUACUUACAUCCUGAAUAACACUGAUUCUAAUGGUAUUGUGGCGAAGGCGCUCCACGACCUUCAGAAUCUCAGCUAACUCUGGUAUAGGUUCUUUCCCUUGGAAAUUGGCUAGACGAAAUGUCUGGAAAAUGGAAAUCUGUCCUCAUGUCCACAGCUGUUUCCUUUAUAAUUGAGAUGGCUGUGAUUCUCUUGUUUGGUUUUUGCGUUAUCCCACUGGUUAAAGGUCUCAUCAUGCGUGCGACCUCAGCAACACUCUCGUAUCAAAUGACACAAUGAACUAUGUUCAAAAACCCCAACUCUAAUUCACGUAAUGACUUUGACGAUGGCUAUCUGAUCACAAAAUAUAAUCUGGUACAAAUAUGA